rnacentral:lncRNA from 1 species
AAAGAUCUUAGCAGUUCCCCAGCAAUUACUCAUUUCAUCAAUCCUCUAUAUUUAAGGAGAUAAAAAGCCCCUCCAGUGUUGUUUCCUGCAAAGACCAUUCUUAAGAGCUCGUUGGACAGCGCAGGGCUCUUGAAGUGAUAGCUAAUUGGUGAAAGAAAGGCCCCGAUUGUCUGGAGGGAGCUGGAAAGUGCUGCGUGUGCUGCUGAAAGGGACUAGGGAGAAGGUGCCUGGUUUCGCUGAGCAGCUGCUGCUGGAGAUGUUUGGAGAUUACAUCAGCAUUGGAAAAAAGGGGCAAAAAAAAAAAAAAAAAAAGUCCAACUUCACAGAGACGGAGUUUAUGGAGUUUUUUUUCCCCUUCCAAAGGUCUUCUGACAAUACUGUCAUUGUCAAUAUAAGAGUUGUUAAUUCUUCAUGAAUAGCACAUGGGGCCUCUUGACUAAAUGGUACGUUACAUGUCCCAAAUCUGUCAGCUGGGCUCUUCUCUCACAUGCUAGUGAGAUCACUUUGAUUGGAAUGUUACAGGAAUUGCUGGGCUGGCCGUGCAGAAUUGAAUGCUGCAUUAUAUAAUUAGAUCUCCCGGAGUAUUUUUUUGGCGUUACCUCAUUAUUCUAGCUUAAAUAUGGAAUCAGUUCUUUUGAUGACUUUACUGGUUGUAAUUAUAUUAAUACGAUUCGUUUUAUGGUCCUGUCUUAGUGCUUAUAUAGAUUACAAACUGUCUCGAAGGUUUCCUGACAGUAAAAAAGAGCUCUAAAAGAGCUCAAAAGGCUUCUUCAGAUUUCAGCUGACAACAAGGACAACUGGAUGAGGUAAAUGGACCCAGAGCAGAUUUUACUUUGGCCUCUGAGGAGAGAGCAAUGGCCGGUUGAGACUGCAACUCAGUGAAGGUCCUUCAGAAGGCCUCAUGCUGACAGAGAGGGAAUAGAAACCACAACAACUGAUUGAGUCAAACGACUUCCUAUCAGACUGGAGCAAGAAUUUGUUGUUGGGAACAGGGUUGUGGACGUUUGCCAGUUAAACGAUCUGGACAAGCUGGAAGGAAUCCUAUUGUUGGGCAGUCCAAGGCUGUCAGUGGCCCAGUCUUGCUACGUGAAAUGUGAUGGCCCAUUGCCUGCUGGACAAGCUGCUGGUCUGCACGUUAGGAUGUCAGCUGCACACCCUGCCUGGAUGCAACAACGGACUGUGCCUGAAUGAACAUGGAGAUUACUAACCCAGCUCUGGAUCCACAUCUAAUGCUGCUGAUUUGCAGAGUGGAUUUGUACAUGAUUGACUUGUUGCUAAAUUCCUCUUGUGGUUUCUAUCAGUCAGUCAGAUCAGAAGCUGGUUAUAACCCAAUGAUCGCCUUUCCUGUCAGACGGUAUAUCUGAGUAACAGAAGUGGUUGGACACCACUGGGUUAGUCUGUUCCAUGAAAAACAGAUCUGUGUGUUAUAGUUUGUCGGACAGAUUCCAGCUCUGCUUCAGCAGUGCUGGGCGUUGGGGCACAUGACAGUGCUUAGAGGCCUCGCAAAGUAAUUUCUCUUCUAGUCUUUAGUAAGGAGCUACCAGGACAUGGAAAGCCUUGACUACUCACCCAAGGCAGGAGUGACAGGAGAUUUUUCGCUUAAUCUUGCAAAGUGAGACAGGGGGCUCCAAGCUAACUGUCUGCUUUCAGAUGGAUGCUAUACUGAGUCAAACUGCAAAAAAUCUUGCUGCGUGUGCAACGCAAUUUAACAUCUGCUUUUAAAAACUUGGUUUUCCUACAGCAAAAGUAGGAAAAUUGUACUGCUUUGCCUGAGAAAGAAAGCUGAAAUGUGGCGUUGUUGGCCCAGUCCUAUCUGGUGUUCUUUAUGUCAUGCAGAAGUGAAGGCUGCCACUUUGAGAAAUGGCUUCAAAAAUCUUGGUAGCUCACGUAACACCAGAAUUCAGCCUAGGUGAAAGCCCAAAGCAUUCCCAUGAAAAGUUUUUGGCCAUUCAUGACUCUUAUAGGCUUGUUCAUUAGUAACUAUUGAUGUUUAUCACUUUGUCAUUUGAAGCCUCCUAACAUUCAGACGUGAGAUAUAGUAUGUAUUCAUACAGUUGAACAGAAUAAAUGUCAGACUGAUUGAUUUCAGUCUCAGGCUUUAUUUGUGAUAGAUGACCAAUCUACAAAACUGUUUGCAGUGUCUGAAAAUGCAUGCUAUUGACUUGAAAUCCAGCUAGUAAAUAAAUUAAAUGUAGAUGCAACUAAUGCCCUUGUCUGUCUAUGUGGGUCCUAAUUUUAGUGAUGAUUCUUAUAUUUAUUUAUUUUUGUUUCCCAGUACCAGUAGACCACAAAGGGAAAAUGAAAUGUCUAUUUGCUGUGCAAACAUAGCUCUGAUAAUAAGUAACUGGAAAAAUAGGCACAGCAAUCCAUUUUCUGUCAGUUAAACAUCGCUAUUCUUAGCUGUUGUACAUCACUGUGAAGAAAAUUAAACUUGUAGAGAAAUUCAUAGUGCUUUUAAAAGCAAGUCUUCUAAUCCAUUCUUUUGAUUAUAUUGAAGUGAUACUUAAAAGUGUCAUACUCAUAUUAAUCAUUUAAAAACGUGAAUGUAACGAGACAUGUGGACUAAUGUCUUUAUCAUUUGGUGAAAUAAGGAGCUGACAUUAGUGUGGAACUCGCAUCUUUGAUCCCUUUAUUCCCACAGAGUAGAAUCUUGAAUUUUCCAUGUGAAUUGGAGACCGUGGUCUUGUUAUAGACCAUAAUCUUAUGUAGGCCAAGUCUUCAUUGAUUUCUGUGGCACCAUUAGUAGGAAUGGCAGGAUGGAAUCAUUAGAACAUUUCAUGUUUGAGUUGCCAUAGCCAGUCUCCUUCAAUGGCUUGCUAUUGGUGUGUGGGGAAAGUGAACUUACUGACGGGUAGAUGUAAGGCAUAGUAGGUAUUUAUCCUGUAGGUGAUCACUGUCAUGAAACUCAGCACAGCCAGAUAUGGGAACAGCCUGUCAAUUCACUGGUUCUGUUUGUGUUUGUCUUUUUAAAUUGUUUAAUUUACCCAAGAUAUGAGAACUUCACUGAUUAUGUUAUGGUCAGUGUUUGUCAUAGUGUUGAUCUUCAUCCUACACAGGUAAAACUGUCUGGAACCCUAAAGAGUUUACUAGAACAUCAAAGCUUUGAGGCACAUAUGAUUAAUAAAGUAAAUAUUUUCUCUUAAUAAAAAAUUUACUGAUUUAAUGUGGUUGUUUUGUAAUCCGUGUGCACUGAAUGUAAUUUUAAUGCUUUGAAGUUCCUCUUCUGUUGUCUGAAAGCCCAUUGUAUCUUUCUGCUGAUGAGGGUUGUUGUGACAGAACUUAUGGUGUCCUCUAAUUUAACCAUCUGUCCAAGCUAGAUUGUCAGUACGCUUACAAGUUAGUUUCUCUUUACAUGAAAGUGCAGCAGAAGAAAAUGUUAGUGAAUAAAUCCUUUGUAUCAUGUACUUGUACUUUAUUUAAGAUCUACCCUGAAGCCAUAUUUCAGUGGGAGUUGAAUGAACUUGACUGGAAACCACUCUAGAAUCUUUUAAAAUUGAUUUAAUUUCAGCUAGGUACUUAAGGAGAUUCUUAUGCCCUACUGUUUUUGCUUGUGUUUAAGGAUAUUGUUAAAAAUAAGUCUGUGCUUAAGAGCAGUUUUGAGCCAUGGACAGAGUGAAUGAAGACUGCAGUGUGGAACCCCCUUUUCAAGACAUGAAAUAAAGGUAUAGGUAAAGAAAUAGAAAAAAUAUCACUUAAUGCUGUGAUGAUAUACUGCAUCAGGUACUGUGUAACCAUUGUAACCAACAACUAAUAUUGGCCUUUUGCAGCAAUACAAAAAACAGAUGUGAUCACAGAAGCUUAUAUGCUAC